rnacentral:rRNA from 1 species
UACGUAGGUCGCAAGCGUUGUCCGGAUUUACUGGGCGUAAAGCGCGCGCAGGCGGCACUUCAAGUAAGGUGUGAAAUCUCCCUGCUCAACGGGGAGGGUGCACUUUAGACUGAGGAGCUAGAGGACGGUAGAGGGGGGUGGAAUUGCUGGUGUAGCGGUGAAAUGCGUAGAGAUCAGCAGGAACACCCGUGGCGAAGGCGGCCCCCUGGGCCGUACCUGACGCUGAGGCGCGAAGGCUAGGGGAGCGAACGGG